AAUGCAGUCGAACGAGUUCUGAUUAUUGAAAGGUGCUUGCAUCUUGAUUUAAUUUUGAACGAGUGGCGGACGGGUGAGUAACACGUGGGUAACCUGCCCUUUAAGUGGGGGAUAACAUUUGGAAACAGAUGCUAAUACCGCAUAAAUCCAAGAACCGCAUGGUUCUUGGCUGAAAGAUGGCGUAAGCUAUCGCUUUUGGAUGGACCCGCGGCGUAUUAGCUAGUUGGUGAGGUAACGGCUCACCAAGGCAAUGAUACGUAGCCGAACUGAGAGGUUGAUCGGCCACAUUGGGACUGAGACACGGCCCAAACUCCUACGGGAGGCAGCAGUAGGGAAUCUUCCACAAUGGACGCAAGUCUGAUGGAGCAACGCCGCGUGAGUGAAGAAGGCUUUCGGGUCGUAAAACUCUGUUGUUGGAGAAGAAUGGUCGGCAGAGUAACUGUUGUCGGCGUGACGGUAUCCAACCAGAAAGCCACGGCUAACUACGUGCCAGCAGCCGCGGUAAUACGUAGGUGGCAAGCGUUAUCCGGAUUUAUUGGGCGUAAAGCGAGCGCAGGCGGUUUUUUAAGUCUGAUGUGAAAGCCCUCGGCUUAACCGAGGAAGUGCAUCGGAAACUGGGAAACUUGAGUGCAGAAGAGGACAGUGGAACUCCAUGUGUAGCGGUGAAAUGCGUAGAUAUAUGGAAGAACACCAGUGGCGAAGGCGGCUGUCUGGUCUGUAACUGACGCUGAGGCUCGAAAGCAUGGGUAGCGAACAGGAUUAGAUACCCUGGUAGUCCAUGCCGUAAACGAUGAAUGCUAGGUGUUGGAGGGUUUCCGCCCUUCAGUGCCGCAGCUAACGCAUUAAGCAUUCCGCCUGGGGAGUACGACCGCAAGGUUGAAACUCAAAGGAAUUGACGGGGGCCCGCACAAGCGGUGGAGCAUGUGGUUUAAUUCGAAGCAACGCGAAGAACCUUACCAGGUCUUGACAUCUUUUGAUCACCUGAGAGAUCAGGUUUCCCCUUCGGGGGCAAAAUGACAGGUGGUGCAUGGUUGUCGUCAGCUCGUGUCGUGAGAUGUUGGGUUAAGUCCCGCAACGAGCGCAACCCUUAUGACUAGUUGCCAGCAUUUAGUUGGGCACUCUAGUAAGACUGCCGGUGACAAACCGGAGGAAGGUGGGGAUGACGUCAAAUCAUCAUGCCCCUUAUGACCUGGGCUACACACGUGCUACAAUGGAUGGUACAACGAGUUGCGAGACCGCGAGGUCAAGCUAAUCUCUUAAAGCCAUUCUCAGUUCGGACUGUAGGCUGCAACUCGCCUACACGAAGUCGGAAUCGCUAGUAAUCGCGGAUCAGCACGCCGCGGUGAAUACGUUCCCGGGCCUUGUACACACCGCCCGUCACACCAUGAGAGUUUGUAACACCCGAAGCCGGUGGCGUAACCCUUUUAGGGAGCGAGCCGUCUAAGGUGGGACAAAUGAUUAGGGUGAAGUCGUA
rnacentral:rRNA from 2 species